CACGUAGGGGGCGAGCGUUGUCCGGAUUUAUUGGGCGUAAAGAGCUCGUAGGCGGCUCGGUAAGUCGGGUGUGAAACCUCCAGGCUCAACCUGGAGACGCCACCCGAUACUGCCGUGGCUAGAGUCCGGUAGAGGAGCGUAGAAUUCCUGGUGUAGCGGUGAAAUGCGCAGAUAUCAGGAAGAACACCCGUGGCGAAGGCGGUUCUCUGGGACGGUACUGACGCUGAGACGCGAAAGCGUGGGGAGCGAACAGG
rnacentral:rRNA from 1 species